GACGAACGCUGGCGGCGUGCCUAAUACAUGCAAGUAGAACGCUGAAGGAGGAGCUUGCUUCUCUGGAUGAGUUGCGAACGGGUGAGUAACGCGUAGGUAACCUGCCUGGUAGCGGGGGAUAACUAUUGGAAACGAUAGCUAAUACCGCAUAAUAGUAGAUGUUGCAUGACAUUUGCUUAAAAGGUGCAAUUGCAUCACUACCAGAUGGACCUGCGUUGUAUUAGCUAGUUGGUGGGGUAACGGCUCACCAAGGCGACGAUACAUAGCCGACCUGAGAGGGUGAUCGGCCACACUGGGACUGAGACACGGCCCAGACUCCUACGGGAGGCAGCAGUAGGGAAUCUUCGGCAAUGGACGGAAGUCUGACCGAGCAACGCCGCGUGAGUGAAGAAGGGUUUCGGAUCGUAAAGCUCUGUUGUAAGAGAAGAACGAGUGUGAGAGUGGAAAGUUCACACUGUGACGGUAUCUUACCAGAAAGGGACGGCUAACUACGCG
rnacentral:rRNA from 1 species